CGGGUGAGUAAGUCUGGGGAUCUGGCUUAUGGAGGGGGAUAACCAUUGGAAACGGUGGCUAAUACCGCAUGAUGUCGCAAGACCAAAGUGGGGGACUUUAGGGCCUCACGCCAUAAGAUGAACCCAGAUGAGAUUAGCUAGUAGGUGCGGUAAUGGCGUACCUAGGCGACGAUCUCUAGCUGGUCUGAGAGGAUGACCAGCCACACUGGAACUGAGAGACGGUCCAGACUCCUACGGGAGGCAGCAGUGGGGAAUAUUGCACAAUGGGCGGAAGCCUGAUGCAGCCAUGCCGCGUGUGUGAAGAAGGCCUUAGGGUUGUAAAGCACUUUCAGCGGGGAGGAAGGCGGUAAGAGUAAUAUGCUUAUCGAUUGACGUUACCCGCAAAAGAAGCACCGGCUAACUCCGUGCCAGCAGCCGCGGUAAUACGGAGGGUGCGAGCGUUAAUCGGAAUAACUGGGCGUAAAGGGCAUGUAGGCGGUAAGUUAAGUCAGAUGUGAAAUCCCCGAGCUUAACUUGGGAACGGCAUUUGAGACUGGCUGGCUAGAGUUUUGUAGAGGGGGGUAGAAUUCCAGGUGUAGCGGUGAAAUGCGUAGAGAUCUGGAGGAAUACCGGUUGCGAAGGCGGCCCCCUGGACAAGGACUGACGCUGAGGUGCGAAAGCGUGGGUAGCAAACAGGAUUAGAUACCCUGGUAGUCCACGCUGUAACGAUGUCGAUUUGGAAGUUGUGGCCUAGUGUUAUGGCGU
rnacentral:rRNA from 1 species